GUCCUUUAGAAGUUUAAUUUAAGGUCUAACCUGCCCACUGAUAUAUUUAAAGGCCGCAGUAAUUUGACUGUGCAAAGGUAGCAUAAUCAUUAGUUUUUUAAUUAAAAGCUUGUAUGAAUGGUUGGACGAAAUAAAAUCUGUCUCUAAAUAAAAAUUAGAAUUUAAUUUUUAAGUUAAAAAGCUUAAAUAUUUAUAAAAGACGAGAAGACCCUAUAGAUCUUUAUAUAAGAAUCUAUAUUUUUAUUUUAGAUGUUUUUAUUAACUAUAUUUUUUUAUAUUUUAUUGGGGUAAUAGGGAGAUUAUAUAAAUUCUUUUUAAAGUUUAACAAUAAUAAUUGAUUAAUUGAUCCAUUUAUAGUGAUUAUAAGAUUAAGUUACCUUAGGGAUAACAGCGUAAUUUUUUUAAAGAGUUCAUAUCGAUAAAAAAGUUUGCGACCUCGAUGUUGGAUUAAAAAUAAUUUUGGGUGUAGAAUUUGAAAAUUUUGGUCUGUUCGACCAUUAAAUUUUUACA
rnacentral:rRNA from 1 species